GUAGGUGGGCAAGCGUUGUCCGGAAUUAUUGGGCGUAAAGCGCGCGCAGGCGGUCCUUUAAGUCUGAUGUGAAAGCCCACGGCUCAACCGUGGAGGGUCAUUGGAAACUGGGGGACUUGAGUACGGAAGAGGAAAGCGGAAUUCCAAGUGUAGCGGUGAAAUGCGUAGAGAUUUGGAGGAACACCAGUGGCGAAGGCGGCUUUCUGGUCUGUAACUGACGCUGAGGCGCGAAAGCGUGGGGAGCAAACAGGAUUAGAUACCCUGGUAGUCCACGCCGUAAACGAUGAGUGCUAAGUGUUAGGGGGUUUCCGCCCCUUAGUGCUGCAGCUAACGCAUUAAGCACUCCGCCUGGGGAGUACGGCCGCAAGGCUG
rnacentral:rRNA from 1 species